UGGUCCCAUUUCAUCCAGCUG
rnacentral:piRNA from 1 species